rnacentral:misc_RNA from 1 species
AAGUCGUAACAAGGUUUCCGUAGGUGAACCUGCGGAAGGAUCAUUAACACGUAUCCAAACGUUAAACCCCCCUGUGAACCUUCAGUGUACUCGUACGUCCGUUAGAAAAAGCAGCAAUCCCUGGUAAAUCAUCGCCGAACAGUUUUCGAUUCAGGGACGUCUGCAAGGAGCGUGCAUGUUGUGCGAAGCAAGUGGCCUGGCAUCCCCAAGCAGUUAGUGUCUGAAAGUGUCAUUAACUGUGUAAGGAUGACGCAGUCACGAUCGUUGGAGGCCCACACGGCCGACGACCGGGUCACUGGGCGCAAGCCCCCCUAUAACAAACGCUGCCAAUCGCGGCCGCGAUAAUACGCAGUCGACAAAAAACCGAACAACUGUUAACAAUGGAUAUCUUGGUUCUC